UACGUAGGGUGCGAGCGUUGUCCGGAAUUACUGGGCGUAAAGAGCUCGUAGGUGGUUUGUCGCGUUGUUCGUGAAAACUCACAGCUCAACUGUGGGCGUGCGGGCGAUACGGGCAGACUUGAGUACUGCAGGGGAGACUGGAAUUCCUGGUGUAGCGGUGGAAUGCGCAGAUAUCAGGAGGAACACCGGUGGCGAAGGCGGGUCUCUGGGCCGAGAUUGACGCUGAGGAGCGAAAGCGUGGGGAGCGAACAGG
rnacentral:rRNA from 1 species